GAUGAACGCUGGCGGCGUGCCUAAUACAUGCAAGUCGAACGAAGAUCUAGCUUGCUAGAUCUUAGUGGCGAACGGGUGAGUAAUACAUAAAUAAUCUGCCCAUAUGACUGGGAUAACUAUUGGAAACGAUAGCUAAUACCGGAUAGGUUGAUCGGAGGCAUCUCUGAUGAAUUAAAGUAGGAUUUCUACACAAAUGGAUGAGUUUAUGGCGCAUUAGUUAGUUGGUGGGGUAACGGCCUACCAAGACGAUGAUGCGUAGCCGACCUGAGAGGGUGACCGGCCACACUGGGACUGAGACACGGCCCAGACUCCUACGGGAGGCAGCAGUAGGGAAUUUUCGGCAAUGGGCGCAAGCCUGACCGAGCAACGCCGCGUGAGUGAUUAAGGCCUUCGGGUUGUAAAGCUCUGUUGUAAGGGAAGAACAUUCAGGAUAGGAAAUGAUCUUGAACUGACGGUACCUUACCAGAAAGCCACGGCUAACUACGUGCCAGCCGCCGCAGUAA
rnacentral:rRNA from 1 species